GAACAGAAGGGAGAUAAUAGAUCUUGUAAUCUAGGGAAAUUACAGAGUCCUGCAUUCCAGAGCUGGUCUCCAUUGAAAGUAACUGCACAUCCUAGGAAACUGGUGUCUGCUUUGUUUUGGAUGUUGCAGCUCACAAACCUCUAUCUUCUUUCUAAAUCCCCAAAGUAAAAGGCAAUCUUCCUUUUUUCUACUUGAAAGCUUGUUUUCCCAAUAUACACAGGACUGAAAAGGCAAUUGACACAAACCAAUGGUUUACACUUCAGCCUCAAAAUUUGCAUUUUGAGGAUCUUUGUGGGAUACAUACCAAGGAGAGGAGGAGGUGCGAGCUCCUUGGUCAAGGCCUGUUUGUGGAGACUACUACAGCCCCAUUUCUCACUAGCCCCCAGCACCUGCCCUGUGACUUGCUUGGUGCCAGAUCCUGGGAGAUGGUGUUUCCAGAGCCUCAGAAGCCUGCCACACACUGGGACGGGAAGUCCCUGGCCCUGGGAUAAGACCAAAUUCCAGGCAUCCCAAGUUGGAAUGCUGAAAGAAAGCAUUUUUUAAAGACAAUGUUUCCCAAGGUCUCAUAUCUCUACAGGACACCCAGUUGGGUACUUUGGGUACAAUUUGAUUAAUUGCACUGCUCUAAGAAUUCCACAAUUCCACCUAGACUUGUUACUAGAGGAAGAUAUGACACAAGCUCCAAACAGGAUACCCAGCGAUAACAUUCUUGGAAAGCAAGGGAAUGAGAGCAAGAUGCAUUAUGUCACAAGGAGAAGCUCUGGGCUGGCAUGAGAGCCCACGUGGUAUCUGCACCCUCCAGUUUGCUGCUCUCAGCCUCUUGAAUUCUUCCCAGUAUCUGCUCUGAAUCCCCAGAGCUACAGCUCCUUCGAAAUGGCAUUAGUACAAUCAAUAGAAAUGAGUUGCAUGACUAUGGAAAUGAGAGUGACCUUGGGUCAUGUAGCUGAUCAUCUUGUAUCCAAGAAGUAUUUCUCUCAAGUUCUCCUAAUUACAGAUUCAGCAGCGGGUCUAUUGUGACUCCUGAUUUUAGAGUGCAUUCUACCUGACACGCAGUUUCUCUUACAGUAACCAGGUACCCAUUGUGCUGUGAUUGUGGUAGUAGCAUGGACUGGAGAAAUUUGAUGAUGUGUUGAAUGCUAGUCAUUUCCUCAGAAAAAUGGCCAGGCGUGGUUCCAUUUGCAGGGGUGGCUGUGUUUCAUCUCACAUCAUCCACUUACCCUGGCCAAAGCGAGUUGAACCAGAGUCACCACCAGACCCAAAGACAGCCAUGUAUAGGCCAGCAGCUCUGCCUAGUGGGAACCACAUUUAUCAAUGGUCCACCCAAUCUGCAACACAUGAUGUCCUGAUGACUUCCUCUCUCCUGGCACUCUGUCUGCUCUUCCCUCUCCUAACGCCCUCGCAGCCAUCCUUCAAGGUACUAUCCAGGCUUGCUUUCUCUGGCUCCCACACUGUCUUUCACGGGGAUAUCAUGAAAGCCCUUAUGGUGUCUUUGCUAGAAUUGGGAAAACACACCCCUCUCAUGUAAAAUAGUCUUAUUUAAUGCAUUAACCUCAUUGCACACCUGCACACGC
rnacentral:lncRNA from 1 species